AGCGCAUCGAGGCGGUUGGCCCAGUAGCGGCGAUACGGCGCCAGCCAGGCAUCCACCUCGGCCAGCGGCUCCGGCAGGAUGCGGUAGAGGCGGCGCUUACCGUCAAUCCGCGCUGCGACGAAGCCGUGGCCGCGCAGGACGCUGAGCUGCUUGGAGACGGCGGGCUGGUUCAUCGCCAGCCGGUCAACCAGCUCGCCCACGGAGCAUUCUUUCACGCCGACGAUCUCAAUGAUUCGGCGGCGGGUGGGGUCAGCGAGGACCUCGAAUGCGUUCAUGGGGGAAGCAUGCCUCUCCAGUUAUAUGACUGUCAAGCAAUGUCUGCGAGAGGGCCUCUGUAUGCUAGUAUGCACGUAUGCACCGCAUAACAAUCAGCCUCCCUGAGAACGUCGCAGCCGCCCUCGAACGCGAGGCGCGGAGACGCCAUGCACCUGUCUCUCAGAUUGCUCGCGAAGCCAUCGAGAAGCGCUUGAAUCUGUCGGGCGAAAAGCGCGUGGUGUCCUUCGCCGGAAUCGUCAAGAGUACUGAAGGCGACAUCGCGGAGAACUUCGACGAGUACCUGGCCGCAGCGCGGGCUGACGACCCCGACCUUGAUAGCCGUAGUUGACGCAGGGCCGCUUUUCGCUGCCGUCGACAUUGGAGAUAAGCACCACAUUCGCUGCCUCCAGAUCAUCGAGAGCAGGGAACUCGAAUUCGUAAUUCCCGCGUUGGUCGUGACUGAGGUCACGUAUCUGCUCAACCGCCGUUUCGGCCCGAGCGCCGAAGCGAGGUUUCUUCGUGGCCUGGAGGAAUUCGAGGUGGAGGCCCCAACCAGCGAGGAAUGGGAUGCAAUGGCAGACCUUGUCGAGCGCUACAGCAACUUUCCCUUGGGCGGAGUGGACGCCUCCGUGAUGGUCCUCGCCGAACGCCUCAACACGGACCUCGUGGUGACUCUGGAUUACCGCCACUUCCGAGCAGUUCCGAUGAAGGACGGCCGGCCGUUUCGCAUCCUGCCCGAAUAGCCUCCUCGUCCCGCCUCACCGGCUAAACUGAGGCUAUGCCGAAUCGACUUGCCGACGAGACCAGCCCCUAUCUCCUCCAGCACAAAGACAACCCCGUCGACUGGUAUCCCUGGGGCGAAGAAGCCUUUGCCAAAGCCCGAGCCGAGGACAGGCCGGUGCUGCUCUCCGUCGGCUACUCUGCCUGCCACUGGUGCCACGUCAUGGAGCAUGAGUCCUUCGAGAACGACGCGAUCGCUGCCCAGAUGAACGACGGCUUCGUCAGCAUCAAGGUCGACCGCGAGGAGCGGCCCGAUAUCGACUCGAUCUACAUGUCGGCGGUGCAGUCGAUGACCGGCCGGGGCGGCUGGCCGAUGACCGUAUUCCUGACGCCGGAGGGCCUGCCCUUCUACGGCGGCACCUACUACCCGCCCGAAGACCGCCAGGGGAUGCCGGGCUUCCCCCGUCUGCUGUCCGCCGUCCUCGACGCCUACAGGAACAAGCGGGCCGACAUCACCGAGCAGGCAAACCGCAUCGUCGAAGGCAUCUCCCGAUCCACCACGCUGCAGGCCGGCGACGGCGAGUUGAGCGAGGACACCCUGCACACUGCCUACGCCGUGAUCGAGCGCGCUUACGACGCCGAGUUCGGCGGCUUCGGCCGGGCGC
rnacentral:misc_RNA from 1 species